rnacentral:rRNA from 1 species
UACGAAGGGUGCAAGCGUUACUCGGAAUUACUGGGCGUAAAGCGUGCGUAGGUGGUUCGUUAAGUCCGAUGUGAAAGCCCUGGGCUCAACCUGGGAAUGGCAUUGGAAACUGGCGAGCUAGAGUGCGGUAGAGGGUAGUGGAAUUCCCGGUGUAGCAGUGAAAUGCGUAGAGAUCGGGAGGAACAUCCGUGGCGAAGGCGACUACCUGGACCAGCACUGACACUGAGGCACGAAAGCGUGGGGAGCAAACAGG